UACGUAGGGCGCAAGCGUUGUCCGGAAUUAUUGGGCGUAAAGAGCUCGUAGGCGGCUUGUCACGUCGGGUGUGAAAGCCCGGGGCUUAACCCCCGGGUCUGCAUUCGGAGUACGGGCUAGGCUAGAGUGUGGUAGGGGGAGAUCGGAAUUCCUGGUGUAGCGGUGAAAUGCGCAGAUAUCAGGAGGAACACCGGUGGCGAAGGCGGAUCUCUGGGCCAUUACUGACGCUGAGGAGCGAAAGCGUGGGGAGCGAACAGG
rnacentral:rRNA from 1 species